rnacentral:tRNA from 1 species
CGGCGAUUAGCUCAGUUGGUAGAGCACACGUGAUACUGAGGUUCGAUUCCUCAAUUGUCUA